rnacentral:rRNA from 1 species
CCUACGGGUGGCUGCAGUGGGGAAUAUUGGACAAUGGGCGAAAGCCUGAUCCAGCCAUGCCGCGUGUGUGAAGGCCUUCGGGUUGUAAAGCACUUUCAGUGGGGAAGAAAGCCUUGGGGCUAAUACCCUCGAGGAAGGACAUCACCCACAGAAGAAGCACCGGCUAACUCCGUGCCAGCAGCCGCGGUAAUACGGAGGGUGCGAGCGUUAAUCGGAAUUACUGGGCGUAAAGCGCGCGUAGGCGGUCUGAUAAGCCGGUUGUGAAAGCCCCGGGCUCAACCUGGGAACGGCAUCCGGAACUGUCAGGCUAGAGUGCAGGAGAGGAAGGUAGAAUUCCCGGUGUAGCGGUGAAAUGCGUAGAGAUCGGGAGGAAUACCAGUGGCGAAGGCGGCCUUCUGGACUGACACUGACGCUGAGGUGCGAAAGCGUGGGUAGCAAACAGGAUUAGAUACCCGGGUAGUC